rnacentral:rRNA from 1 species
AACGAACGCUGGCGGCAGGCCUAAUACGUGCAAGUCGAACGGCUCUUCGGAGCCGUGGCGGACGGGUGAGUAACGCGUGGGAAUGUGCCCUUUGGUACGGAACAACACAGGGAAACUUGUGCUAAUACUGUAUGUGCCCUUCGGGGGAAAGAUUUAUCGCCAUUGGAGCAGCCCGCGUUGGAUUAGGUAGUUGGUGAGGUAAAGGCUCACCAAGUCUACGAUCCAUAGCUGGGCUGAGAGGAUGACCAGCCACACUGGGACUGAGACACGGCCCAGACUCGUACGGGAGGCAGCAGGAGGGAAUCUUGCGCAAUGGGCGAAAGCCUGACGCAGCCAUGCCGCGUGUAUGAUGAAGGUCUUAGGAUUGUAAAAUACUUUCACCGGGGAAGAUAAUGACGGUACCCGGAGAAGAAGCCCCGGCUAACUUCGUGCCAGCCGCCGCUGUAACAC